rnacentral:lncRNA from 1 species
AUAUGAGAAGAAUAGGCAGGUGGGUGGUACAGAAAUAUCAGAGGGAGAUAAGCAAGAGGCCCCCAGAGAUAAGCAGCCAUCACAUUGGGCUCUGAGCUGCUUCUUGAUCAAAGCAAAAUCAGAAACAAGUUCUUAGUUCUAAGCCCAGAUAUAUCAGCCUAUCCCUGCCAGCAGGAUCUCGAUUGCACCAUCCCACUCAACAGCCUCACUUGGAUGGAGUCUCACUCUGUCACCCAGGCUGGAAGUACAGUCGCACAAUCUUGGCUCACUGCAACCUCUGCCUCCCGGGUUCAAGCAAUUCUCUGCCUCAGUCUCCUGAGUAGUUGAGAUUACAGGUACCCACCACCACACCUGAGUAAUUUUUGUAUUUUUAGUAAAGACAGGCUGGUCUUGCACUCCUGAUGUUGUGAUCCACCCACCUCAGCCUCCCAAAGUGCUGGGAUUACAGGCAAGAGCCACCAUGCCUGGCUGUGCCUGGCCAUGUUUUUAAGUGUGUUGUGCAUAGUUCAUUGAGUUUUGAUGAACAGAUAUACAGAUGCAAUCACCACAGUCAGUAUAGAACAUUUCCAUUACCCCAAAACUUAGGCUUUACUCCUCCCCAGGCAAUUCCCCCUCCCAGCCCCAAGUAACCACUGACUUGCUUUUUUUAAAUAUUGUAUUUUUAUUAAACACAUUUUUUCCUCAUGGUAAAAGUAAUACAUACUAAUCAAGGAGUCCAGAAAAUAUAGAAAAGUAUAAUAAAGAAAAACAAAAGUCUUAGUCACAUUAUCCAGAGACAGUUCAUAUUCUUAUUUAUAUGUAUUUUCUUCACAUUGUGUGUGUGUGUGUAUGUGUGUGCAUUUAAUGAUACUGAGGCCAGGAUCUAUACACAGCUUCAUUGGUGAUUGCAUAUUUGUCUAUGAAGAUUGUAUCUAAAAUCAUUUUGCUCACAGAGCCUACAACUGACUCUAUAUUUGAUUAAUGGCCCCAGUUUACUCAAGCU